UACGUAGGGGGCUAGCGUUGUCCGGAAUCAUUGGGCGUAAAGAGCGUGUAGGCGGUCCGGUAAGUCCGCUGUGAAAGUCGGGGGCUCAACCCUCGAAUGCCGGUGGAUACUGUCGGGCUAGAGUCCGGAAGAGGCGAGUGGAAUUCCUGGUGUAGCGGUGGAAUGCGCAGAUAUCAGGAGGAACACCAAUGGCGAAGGCAGCUCGCUGGGACGGUACUGACGCUGAGGCGCGAAAGCGUGGGGAGCAAACAGG
rnacentral:rRNA from 1 species